rnacentral:rRNA from 1 species
UAUUAUUUAAAAUAUAAAUAAAAAUCUUAAGUAGUAGUAGUUAUGUUCUUGAAACUUAAAAAAUUUGGCGGUAUUUUAGUCUAUCCAGAGGAACCUGUUUUGUAAUCGAUAAUCCACGAUGGACCUUACUUAAAUUUGUAUUCAGUUUAUAUACCGUCGUUAUCAGAAUAUUUUAUAAGAAUAAAAAUAUUCAAUAAUUUAUAUUAAAAUUUAUAUCAGAUCAAGGUGUAGCUUAUAUUUAAGUUUUAAUGGGUUACAAUAAAUUUAUUUAAAUGAAUAAAAUUAUGAAAAAGUUUUUGAAGGUGGAUUUGGUAGUAAAAUUAUAAAGAUUAAUAAUUUGAUUUUAGCUCUAAAAUAUGUACACAUCGCCCGUCGCUCUUAUUACUAAGGUAAGAUAAGUCGUAACAUAGUAGAUGUACUGGAAAGUGUAUCUAGAAUGA